UUGUGAGAAAAUAUGUAGGGUUUGAAUUGAGUUUGUUAUGCAUAUCAUGUUUGCCACAAUACAGGUUUUGUCAUAUUUGCGGUAGAUGCCAAACGAAUGAUGGCUACAUGUUGAACUCAAUUUGAUAGAAUUGAUCUAUUAAAGCUUGUACAGUUAUUAAUUUUUCUUCUGUGCGUUUGAUUCCAUGAUGAUGAAUUUUUAUAAGAAUUAAUCAAGGAUUCAUUGGGUGGUUAUGGAAUGUGAGUACAUAUGCUAUUAAUUUUGUUAUCAAUAAUCCGUGGCUUUUUGUGGGUCUUAUCGUUUUGAAUUAAUGAAUCUGAUUAUAAAGAUGUGCAUAAAAUAUGCCUUGUACAGACCAAAUAUUAGUAAGAUAAAAGAAAGAUGAAAUUUUGGUUUGACGACAUUAAAAGUUUUUGUUUGUCUAAGAGAUAUUAUUGUUCAUGGUUUGUCUUUUUUCUAUGAAUUUGUGUUGAUGGGAUUCUGGCCAUCGCUUUGGCGAUGAUUUUGGUUCGGCGCAUCUGUAACAAUGGCGAUUUACUUCGAUAAUCUGCAAUGGUAUGAGGUCCAUGGGAAUUGGGAGUGAUGGCAAUCUGGAUGGAUGGAUCUCGAGCAUUGAUAGAUAAUUUGUUUUGUUGAUUUGGAACCGAGGAAUUGCAAUCAGGUUGACGAACACGGGUCCAAUGAUGCAUUCAGAGAGGAGAAGGUUGUGUGUAGAGGGUGUCUUGGUAUGCGUCCAUGUGACAGUUAAAGAAGAUGAAGAAGUCGGAUUGUACACACAAUGUCACGGCUUGGUGCUUUACGUGUCCUGCUGUAUUCUUGAACCCAGUUCCUUUUGGCAACAAAGUAGUUUUCAACUGCAGCAAAGGUUGCGGUGUUCAUGGUUAUGACACCAUCCGUGUGGCUCUUGCUUCAGCUGAUCCUGGUCAUGGUUGGACUGUCACCAAUCAUCACAACAUUGGUCAUUUGCUUUUCAACGAUGACAGUCAUCUCGGAAUCCACUCGUCCUUUGGCUUAAUGGAAUAGCACCAUCUGCUGUCUUUUAACAACACACAUGGGAAAGACUUCGUGAAGCAGUCUGGAGUGACCCAAGGAGGAGUGAUGGCUAAACGUUGUUCAUCAGUCUCAUACUUGUCAUAGCAUCUUUGCUUUACUCGACACUUUCAAUCUCUCCAUCUAUUACCGACUGUACUGAAGCAAUAAAGACUAUAUACGUCAGGAGCAUAUGUGUUAUCCUACAACGAUAGAUAAUAACAAUUAAUCAAAUUAAGGAAUCAUGUCAUGAUUCAUUCGAUUUGGAGUUGAGAAAUAAUGUCAAAGAUUUCAUUCAAAACAGGUUAGGCUGCUGAAUUUCUGUGUUUCUGCAUCAUACCUUUAGCUUUGAAAAUUCACCAAAAUAUCAAUUUAAUUUCGAUUUAUAUGAACAAGCUCUGAAAUGCUCAUUGGUAUG